rnacentral:rRNA from 1 species
ACGAUGAAUCUUCUAGCUUGCUAGAAGUGGAUUAGUGGCGCACGGGUGAGUAAUGCAUAGGUUAUGUGCCCUUUAGUCUGGGAUAGCCACUGGAAACGGUGAUUAAUACUGGAUACUCCCUACGGGGGAAAGUUUUUCGCUAAAGGAUCAGCCUAUGUCCUAUCAGCUUGUUGGUGAGGUAAUGGCUCACCAAGGCUAUGACGGGUAUCCGGCCUGAGAGGGUGAUCGGACACACUGGAACUGAGACACGGUCCAGACUCCUACGGGAGGCAGCAGUAGGGAAUAUUGCUCAAUGGGGGAAACCCUGAAGCAGCAACGCCGCGUGGAGGAUGAAGGUUUUAGGAUUGUAAACUCCUUUUGUUAGAGAAGAUUAUGACGGUAUCUAACGAAUAAGCACCGGCUAACUCCGUGCCAGCAACCGCGGUAAUACGGAGGGUGCAAGCGUUACUCGGAAUCACUGGGCGUAAAGAGUGCGUAGGCGGGGUAAUAAGUCAGAUGUGAAAUCCUGUAGCUUAACUACAGAACUGCAUUUGAAACUGUUACUCUGGAGUGUGGGAGAGGUAGGUGGAAUUCUUGGUGUAGGGGUAAAAUCCGUAGAGAUCAAGAGGAAUACUCAUUGCGAAGGCGACCUGCUGGAACAUUACUGACGCUGAAGCACGAAAGCGUGGGGAGCAAACAGGAUUAGAUACCCUGGUAGUCCACGCCCUAAACGAUGAAUGCUAGUUGUUGCCUUGCUUGUCAGGGCAGUAAUGCAGCUAACGCAUUAAGCAUCCCGCCUGGGGAGUACGGUCGCAAGAUUAAAACUCAAAGGAAUAGACGGGGACCCGCACAAGCGGUGGAGCAUGUGGUUUAAUUCGAAGAUACGCGAAGAACCUUACCUAGGCUUGACAUUGAUAGAAUCUA